AUUCAAUCACAGCCUCAAGUUCAAAAGUGAAUUAAAACUCAAAGAAGCCUGGGGACAGGGACAAGAGUACUUCUGUCAUUCAUUCUCUUCCCCUGCUUCCUUGGGGACAAGGGUGGCCUGGAGGAACAAUAGUGUCCCCUGGCCCCUUCUUCCUGCAUUGGGUUAGAAAAGGCAGCAGAAAGCAGUGGGGAUGACAAAGACACACACACACACACACACACACACACACACACACACACACACACACCCCAGGCUUGAGAAGGGAGGAGGAGGAGGCGUCUCUGGCUGGACGGACAGACUGUUAUUUUGGUGGUGGGCAUGGUCCCAGAUAGGGGCAGCGUUCCCCUUUUUCCUGGCUUUUCAGGGAGAGCAGCAAGAGAAAGAAAGAAGCAAACGAAAUUCCUGAAUGGAUAAGAGAUGCUACGUCAGCGGUACUGGAGCCGCAUCCUCCACUCCACGAGAAGAGAAGAGCUAGGAGAGACCAGCGGGCGGUAGCUGCGGCGAGUGGCCUCUCCGUGCGGCACAGAGGCAAGAAGCAGCCAUCCAUCCAGAAGCAGCCUCCGUGUUCCGUUUGUCCGGAUGUCAUCGUAGGUGGCCGGCAUCUCUGGCUUUGGGGCAGACAUCCUGCACUACAUUCCAGAUCUGAUGAGGCAUGGCUGCCCCAGGAUUACUGGGCUCGGACGGGAGCAGUGGUAGGAAGGAUCCUAUAUAAGUCAUGUGAGACAUAGAAUGUUCAGAUCAACUGAAGCUGAAACAAGCCUUUGGCAUCAUAUAUAACCCAGAAAGGGACAAAGCUGAUCCCAGAGGACUCAAGGCUAUGGGUGAUGUCGAAGGUGCGGAAGAAUCAAGUUGGAAAGACCAGCAGGAGACAGACAGAGUAAGGUUCCUUGAAUGCUUGGUUUAUGUGCCUGGCUGGAGGAGACACCCAUGGCCUUGCAGAGGGAGCGUUCUGGUGGGAAAGCAGACACAACCCACCCUAGGCCCGUGGUUUCCCUGCAAGAAGCCCAGUGGCUUUCUGGAGGACACUUUUCCUGGAGGAAGUGACUCAAGCACAAGUUCUUGGUGGCCUCAAUUCACGGUCUCUUCCUGUUGAUCAG
ensembl:lincRNA Gm3764 predicted gene 3764